UCCCUGAUGGCUCAGAUGGUAAAGAAUCUGUCUGCAAUGCAGGAGACCUGGGUUCAAUCCCUGGUUCAGGAA
rnacentral:tRNA from 1 species